GAUGGUUAGCGGCGGACGGGUGAGUAACACGUAGGCAACCUGCCCUCAAGUUUGGGACAACUACCGGAAACGGUAGCUAAUACCGAAUAAUUGUUUUCUUCGCCUGAAGGAAACUGGAAAGACGGAGCAAUCUGUCACUUGGGGAUGGGCCUGCGGCGCAUUAGCUAGUUGGUGAGGUAACGGCUCACCAAGGCGACGAUGCGUAGCCGACCUGAGAGGGUGAUCGGCCACACUGGGACUGAGACACGGCCCAGACUCCUACGGGAGGCAGCAGUAGGGAAUCUUCCGCAAUGGGCGAAAGCCUGACGGAGCAAUGCCGCGUGAGUGAUGAAGGUUUUCGGAUCGUAAAGCUCUGUUGCCAGGGAAGAACGCUUGGGAGAGUAACUGCUCUCAAGGUGACGGUACCUGAGAAGAAAGCCCCGGCUAACUACGUGCCAGCAGCCGCGGUAAUACGUAGGGGGCAAGCGUUGUCCGGAAUUAUUGGGCGUAAAGCGCGCGCAGGCGGUCAUUUAAGUCUGGUGUUUAAUCCCGGGGCUCAACCCCGGAUCGCACUGGAAACUGGGUGACUUGAGUGCAGAAGAGGAGAGUGGAAUUCCACGUGUAGCGGUGAAAUGCGUAGAUAUGUGGAGGAACACCAGUGGCGAAGGCGACUCUCUGGGC
rnacentral:rRNA from 1 species